AGGAAACUAUGAAUGAGGUAUUCAGACCUUACCUGCAUCAUUUUGUGUUAGUAUUUUUUGAUGAUAUUCUCGUGUAUAGUCCGUCCUGGGAAGAGCACCUUAGCCAUUUGUGUUCUGUUUUGCUUGUGUUACGACAACAUCAACUGGUGGCGAACUAUGCCAAAUGCUUGUUUGGGAAAACUUCUGUUGAUUACCUAGGUUAUGUGAUAUCAGAUAAAGGUCUUAGUAUGGAUCCGACCAAAAUUACAGCCAUUCAACAAUGGCAUGUUCCUAAGAAUGCUAAACAGAACCGAAGUUUUCUUGGACUUGCGGGUUAUUAUAGGCAAUUUAUCCAUCUGCUGGAAUAGCAGGGCCUCUUACAGAUUUACUGAGGAAGGACACUUUUACUUGGAAUCAGUCAACUCAGGUUGCCUUUGAAAACUUGAAGGCAAAAUUGAGCUCUACACCUGUGUUGGUAUUGCCGGACUUUUCGCAAGUGUUUCAAGUCAAAAUCGAAGCAUCAGGACAGGGAAUUGGGACCAUCUUAUCAAAAAAGGGGCAUCCUGUCGCAUAUUUUAGCCAGAAGUUAAGUGCACGAAUGCAAUGAGCUUCUACCUGUCACAGGGAGAUGUUUGCCAUAACUCAUGUGGUGAGUAAAUGGCGUCAAUAUCUAUUAGGGAGCAAAUUUACCAUCUAUACGGACCAGCAAUCCAUUAGAAACUUAACUAACCAGACUAUCCAGACCCUGGAACAACAAAAUGACUUGGGAAGCUCGUUGGCUAUGACUUCUAAAUCGUCUACCGCCAUGGAAAGCUGAAUCCAGCAGCUGAUGCUCUCUCUCAAAAAUCUAAAGUUAUUUUUGCUCACUAUUGCUGCUCGGAGUUAUGAACUGGAGCAAGAACUUUGAGCUCUCAAUCAGACUCACUCUGAAUUGAUAGAAAUUCCGUGAAUGUUAGUAGAACAACCAGGGUUUCAUUAUGCCAAUCUUUGCUCCAUGAGUUUCAUGACACUGUUAUUGGAGGACACACUGGGGUGGCUCGAACUUACCAUCGUGUGGCCUCUAAUAUCCUUUUGAAGCACAUGAGGCUAGAUAUUAAGAGUUUUGUGGCUUCUUGCCAAACCUUCCAACAAAUGAAAGAUUUACAUCACCAUCCGGCGGACUUGUUGCAACCAUUACCAAUUCCCGACCUAGUUUUUGAAGAGAUUGCAAUGGAUUUUAUUACUUGUCUGCCUACCUCCAAGGACAAGUCUACCAUUCUAACUGUAGUUGAUAUCUUGACAAAGUAUGGCCACUUUAUUUCUUUACUUUCAACCUUCUCCACAAGAACUAUUGCUGAAGCAUUUAUUAUUGGGGUCGUUCGUCUCCACGGACCCCCCAGAACCAUUGUUAUUGAUCGAGAUCCAAGGUUUCUACAUGCUCUUUGACAAUAAAUCAACCAUUUGCAAGGCACGUCAUUGGCCAUGAGUACGGCGUACCACCCUCAGACCGACGGCCAAUCUGAAGCUCUUAACAAGUGCGUCGAGCAGUACCUCCGCUGUUACGUUACUGAUACACUACACAAGUGGGUCUCCAUAUUAUCGUGGGAGGAAUAUUGGUACAACACGGCAUAUCAGACCUCCGUGGGUAUGUCUCCAUUCAAGGCACUUUAUGGACGAGAUCCUUCUACUAUAGCUCGAUACAUACUAGGUAGAAGCCCUAGUGAGCUAGUUGAAGCAUACUUUGUGGACAGGGACAAAAUUCUAGCCUUGCUUAAGCUGAAUUUUCUUAAGGCACAGACUCGUAUGAAGAAUUUGGCUGACAAACAUCAUACUGAACUCAAAUUUGCUGAAGGGGACUGGGUGUUCGUCAAGUUUAAGCCUUAUCGUCAAAAUGCAGUGCGUAUGUUGCAACAUCCCAAACUAGGCAGGCGCUACUUUGGGCCUUUUCGCGUUCUUAAGUGCAUUGGGUAGGUGGUGUAUAUGCUGGAAUAAGCGGACACGGAUCGAAUCCACUAUGUCUUCCAUGUCUCUAUGCUUAAGCGUUGUAUUGAUGAACCUGCUCAACAAGUUACGCCAUUGCAACUCACUGAUUUCAUCCCUCCCAGUGAUAAAGGUCCAGGUCCACUGAACCUUGAGGAUAAGGUUCUUUCGUAGGAAGGGAGUAUUGCUAUGAAUACUACUGAUGACAUAGGCGACACCUUGGCAGCCACGGACGACAAGAAUAAUCAACCUGCUGCCACUGCUAGGAAAAGAAAACAUGUAGGGAGGCAUGUGCCAAGCAGCAUGUGAAGGGCCAAAGUUAGUUAUAAGUAGUCAGUAGUAGGCUUUACUAAGGUAGGCUAUUUUGUUGUAGAAAGUUUCUAUCUUCCCACAUCCUUCUGUUAACUAUGUUCUCAUCCCCAUUCUUCUCCUUUCAUUAUCUGUGGGUUCCUUAGUAUCUGUUGCAAUUUCCAUUACUAGGCUAUUGUAGUUUUGUUUGAGAAGUUCAAGACUAUCAGCUAGUUCUAUUAUUUGUGAGUUGUUAUUUAGAUUGUUUCAUUGGUUCUUUCAUCCAGUGGUCUUUCAAUAUGGAGGACCAAAAAUUACUCAAAGUAUUCAUAGAUGAUUCGAUUCAGGAUUCAAUUAGGGAAAUGAAGGACUCGUUUUCCAAGGAAAUGGCGGAGAUGCGUGAGCUACUAAUUGAGGUCGUGGCGCACAAAACUCGGACAGAAAUUAACAGGCGAGAUCCAGCAAUGGAGAUCGCACGACAGGAACAUGUACCAUGGACCGCCGUCCUCCGGCACAAACCAGCAUCGGUGAAAUUUGGUCAAUUCCGUGGUGACAAUCUAGAGGCUUGGAUAUUCCAAGCAGAGCGCUAUUUUGAAUUCUAUCGAAUUGAGACCGAUCAACAAUUGACCAUGGCAUCAUUCUAUCUCGACAGCUAAGCUCUCAAAAGUUGGUUAUUCCGGAACAAACAACUUGUGGAUUGGCCGCAUUUUGUAGAGAAAAUGAGAAUUCUCUUUAAAUAGAAGUGACUCAAGCCAGCGGAGGGAAGGUUAGCAAAAAUACGGCAGGUCACCACCGUGUCGGAAUUACAGGGCAGGUUUGAAGCAAUCGUCAACGAGACUGAUGACAUCUCAGAACGGUUGAUGGUUAAGCUCUUUAUUUCUGGGCUUAGGGAGGAUAUUAAAAAUUCAGUACUGAGCCACGAGCCCAAAACUUUUGAGAAGGCCCUUAAACAGGCCCACAUCCACGAGUGUAGAAUCCAUGUAGAGAAAGGUCUGGUUCGACCCGCUUUCGCCAACAAAGGGGCUCCUUUGUUGCCCAGCCCUAAUCAAAACUCCUCUGCACCCUUUGUUCCAUCCAUAUUGAUUCCACAGUGCUUGGCUCGCCCACCUCUCAAAUGCCUCACACACGCAGAGAUUCAGAGUCGACGUGAGCGUGGGUUAGGUUAUUACUGUGAGAAAAAAUACACCACCGACCACAAGUGCAAGUUCCGACCUCAGUUGUUUCUUCUCACCGAUGGCUCCAAUAUUGAGCCUAUCUUACCAGAGCCCUUCAUCUCUGAUGAUCUCUUGGCUGAAGAAUUACAGAUCCUAGAAGUUCAAGAGCAGUCCGAUAUAUCGUAUCAUGAACUGGCAUGAGGUAAUUCUUCAUCCAUACUUCGAUUCUUGGGACAUGUGAAUGGAUCUCCAGUCCAAGUUCUAGUAUGCGGCAAAAGUGAUCACAGUUUUAUUCAUACACGUGUAGCUAAGUUUCUUCAACUAACUGUUGAAAAUGUUUCGAGUUUCUCUGUUAUGGUGGGAAAUGGACAACGAUUACUAUGUGAGGGAGUUGUUCGCCAAGUUCCGCUCACAAUUCAAGGAUGUAGUCUCAUCCUAGAUCUGUAUGAAUUUCCUAUGCAUGGCGCAGAUAUAGGUUUUGGUGUUUCAUGGGUCUCCACACUGGGCAGGGUGGUGACAGAUUAUGCUGAGCGACUCUUCGAAUUCACAUGGCAGGGGCCAACUAUAAGUUGGAAGGGUGAUAGCCUGAAUGCGGCACAUCCCGUUCAAUUACACAGCCUACGAAGGUAUGCUGCCACUGAUGCAGUCUCUUCAUAUUAUUGCUUGCAAUUAGUCCAGGAUGAUUCAAAUCAUAUAGAGCCGCAGGAUCCAGAAUUAGUUGGUAUUGUAGUAGAAUUUGCUGAUGUGUUUCAAAAGCCUCAAGGAUUGCCCCUACCCCGACCGCAGGAUCAGGCUAUUCAUUUAAAUCCAUGGGUUGAACUAGUUAAUGUCAAGCCAUACUGUUACCCUUAUUUUCAGAAGCAAGUUAUGGAGCAAUAAGUCACUGAUAUGCUCAAGGAUGGGGUUAUCAAGGCUAGCAUAAGUCGAUUCUCAUCCCCGGUAUUGUUGGUUCGUAAGAAGGACGGCACAUGGAGGUUUUGCAUGGACUACAUGGCUCUUAAUGUUAUUACUGUCCGGAAUAGAUUUCCAAUUCCCUCAUUGAUUAAUUGUUUGAUGAGUUGCACUGGGAAAUUUAUUUUUCGAAGCUUGACUUGCUAUCCGGUUAUCAUCAGAUUAGAGUCAGGUCGGAUGAUGUCGCUAAAACUGCAUUUCGCACACAUGAUGGGCAUUAUGAAUUUCUUGUUAUGCCGUUCGGCUAGUCUAAUGCCCCAUCUAUAUUCCAGGAAACUAUGAAUGAGGUAUUCAGACCUUACCUGCAUCAUUUUGUGUUAGUAUUUUUUGAUGAUAUUCUCGUGUAUAGUCCUUCCUGGGAAGAGCACCUUAGCCAUUUGCGCUCUGUUUUGCUUGUGUUACGACAACAUCAACUGGUGGCGAAGCAUACCAAAUGCUUGUUUGGGCAAACUUCUGUGGAUUACCUAGGUCACGUGAUAUCAGAUAAAGGUCUUUGUGUGGAUCCGACCAAAAUUACAGCCAUUCAACAAUGGCAUAUUCCUAAGAAUGCUA
rnacentral:lncRNA from 1 species